UUUCGGGCUGAGUAGAGCGGCGGACGGGUGAGUAACGCGUAGGAAUCUACCUGGUAGUGGGGGACAACUUGGGGAAACUCAAGCUAAUACCGCAUACGCCCUAAGGGGGAAAGCGGGGGACCUUCGGGCCUCGCGCUAUCGGAUGAGCCUGCGUAGGAUUAGCUAGUUGGUGGGGUAAAGGCCCACCAAGGCGACGAUCCUUAGCUGGUCUGAGAGGAUGAUCAGCCACACUGGAACUGAGACACGGUCCAGACUCCUACGGGAGGCAGCAGUGGGGAAUAUUGCGCAAUGGGCGAAAGCCUGACGCAGCCAUGCCGCGUGUGUGAAGAAGGCCUUAGGGUUGUAAAGCACUUUCAAUUGGGAAGAAAAGUUUGUCGUUAAUAGCGCCAAGCUCUGACAUUACCUUUAGAAGAAGCACCGGCUAACUCCGUGCCAGCAGCCGCGGUAAUACGGAGGGUGCGAGCGUUAAUCGGAAUUACUGGGCGUAAAGCGCGCGUAGGCGGUUUGUUAAGUCAGCUGUGAA
rnacentral:rRNA from 1 species